UACGGAAGGCAGCAGUGGGGAAUAUUGCACAAUGGGCGCAAGCCUGAUGCAGCCAUGCCGCGUGUAUGAAGAAGGCCUUCGGGUUGUAAAGUACUUUCAGUCGUGAGGAAGGUGUUAAGGUUAAUAACCUUAGCAAUUGACGUUAGCGACAGAAGAAGCACCGGCUAACUCCGUGCCAGCAGCCGCGGUAAUACGGAGGGUGCGAGCGUUAAUCGGAAUUACUGGGCGUAAAGGGCACGCAGGCGGUUAAUUAAGUUGGGUGUGAAAUCCCCGGGCUUAACCUGGGAAUGGCAUUCAAGACUGGUUAGCUAGAGUCUUGUAGAGGGGGUAGAAUUCCAUGUGUAGCGGUGAAAUGCGUAGAGAUGUGGAGGAAUACCGGUGGCGAAGGCGGCCCCUGGACAAAGACUGACGCUCAUGUGCGAAAGCGUGGGGAGCAAACAGGGAUUAGAUACC
rnacentral:rRNA from 1 species